UACGGAGGAGGCAAGCGUUAUCCGGAAUUAUUGGGCGUAAAGCGUCCGCAGGUGGCACCUCAAGUCUGCUGUCAAAGACCGGGGCUUAACCCCAGAAAGGCAGUGGAAACUGAAGCGCUAGAGUGCAGUAGGGGUAGAGGGAAUUCCCGGUGUAGCGGUGAAAUGCGUAGAGAUCGGGAAGAGCAUCGGUGGCGAAAGCGCUCUGCUGGACUGCAACUGACACUCAGGGACGAAAGCUAGGGGAGCGAAUGGG
rnacentral:rRNA from 1 species